GCGCAGCUACACAUGCAGUCGAGCGGUAGCACAGAGAGCUUGCUCUCGGGUGACGAGCGGCGGACGGGUGAGUAAUGUCUGGGAAACUGCCUGAUGGAGGGGGAUAACUACUGGAAACGGUAGCUAAUACCGCAUAACGUCGCAAGACCAAAGUGGGGGACCUUCGGGCCUCAUGCCAUCAGAUGUGCCCAGAUGGGAUUAGCUAGUAGGUGGGGUAAUGGCUCACCUAGGCGACGAUCCCUAGCUGGUCUGAGAGGAUGACCAGCCACACUGGAACUGAGACACGGUCCAGACUCCUACGGGAGGCAGCAGUGGGGAAUAUUGCACAAUGGGCGCAAGCCUGAUGCAGCCAUGCCGCGUGUAUGAAGAAGGCCUUCGGGUUGUAAAGUACUUUCAGCGAGGAGGAAGGCGUUAAGGUUAAUAACCUUAGCGAUUGACGUUACUCGCAGAAGAAGCACCGGCUAACUCCGUGCCAGCAGCCGCGGUAAUACGGAGGGUGCAAGCGUUAAUCGGAAUUACUGGGCGUAAAGCGCACGCAGGCGGUCUGUCAAGUCGGAUGUGAAAUCCCCGGGCUCAACCUGGGAACUGCAUUCGAAACUGGCAGGCUAGAGUCUUGUAGAGGGGGGUAGAAUUCCAGGUGUAGCGGUGAAAUGCGUAGAGAUCUGGAGGAAUACCGGUGGCGAAGGCGGCCCCCUGGACAAAGACUGACGCUCAGGUGCGAAAGCGUGGGGAGCAAACAGGAUUAGAUACCCUGGUAGUCCACGCCGUAAACGAUGUCGACUUGGAGGUUGUGCCCUUGAGGCGUGGCUUCCGGAGCUAACGCGUUAAGUCGACCGCCUGGGGAGUACGGCCGCAAGGUUAAAACUCAAAUGAAUUGACGGGGGCCCGCACAAGCGGUGGAGCAUGUGGUUUAAUUCGAUGCAACGCGAAGAACCUUACCUACUCUUGACAUCCAGAGAACUUAGCAGAGAUGCUUUGGUGCCUUCGGGAACUCUGAGACAGGUGCUGCAUGGCUGUCGUCAGCUCGUGUUGUGAAAUGUUGGGUUAAGUCCCGCAACGAGCGCAACCCUUAUCCUUUGUUGCCAGCGGUCCGGCCGGGAACUCAAAGGAGACUGCCAGUGAUAAACUGGAGGAAGGUGGGGAUGACGUCAAGUCAUCAUGGCCCUUACGAGUAGGGCUACACACGUGCUACAAUGGCAUAUACAAAGAGAAGCGACCUCGCGAGAGCAAGCGGACCUCAUAAAGUAUGUCGUAGUCCGGAUUGGAGUCUGCAACUCGACUCCAUGAAGUCGGAAUCGCUAGUAAUCGUAGAUCAGAAUGCUACGGUGAAUACGUUCCCGGGCCUUGUACACACCGCCCGUCACACCAUGGGAGUGGGUUGCAAAAGAAGUAGGUAGCUUAACCUUCGGGAGGGCGCUACCACUUGAUCG
rnacentral:rRNA from 1 species